rnacentral:misc_RNA from 1 species
UCUUCAAGGUGUUGCCUUGCUUUUAUAUUUUCAAAAAGUUCUUGUUAUCGCAUCAAACUGCGAUUUUAGUUGAAAUAGACAAAAGUUCUUGUUAUCGCAUCAAACUGCGAUUUUAGUUGAAAUAGACAUUCUUCCUAGCAUUCUUCUAGCUAUCUUUCCAUAACUCAUAAAAUAUAAUGAAUAUCUCGAUAUUCUCGUUCCUUGUCUAAUAAAAUUUGUUUAAUUUCUUGAUAUUCAUCACGCAAGUAAUAACAUAACUUAUGAUCAUGACCACUUUUAUCUAUACAAUCACAUAUAUAAACUAAUUGAUUCUUAUGAUAACUGAUUUCAUAAUGCAGUCUUUCAAUAUCAGCUUGGAAAUAACUGAUAUCAUCUUGUACUCUUUCAAUAUCAUUCCACAACAUGAAGUCUCACUAAAAACAAGUCAAAAGUCCUUACCAAUCUUAAAUAAUGGGUUUUACUCAAAAAGGACUUAAAAUCGAAAUCAGCACAUCAAAAUUAGCAAAGAAGAGUCAUGUCAAUUUUUUGCUAAAAUGACACCAAGCUGUCACCGAGGUGGCAAAAGCUAUUGCUACAUCAACAAUGACAUGGCAGCUGACAAGGCGAGGCAGGAUCUGGUGCAAGCAAGCGCAAGAAAAACCAGUAAGCUCAGCUAGGUUUUAGGUGUAUCUGACUCGAACUGGUUGGGUCUCACCACAAAGGCACCAAACUAGAGUUCUGACGAUUAGGGGGAGCGCAGGCAUGCAACAAAGCUGCCGGAAGUAUGGCAACGCCUGGUAAAAGGUUGAAUUUGGAUUCAGGUUAAAUCAGACCCAUCGGUUUUUUGCGUUCAGUGCUGCUUUUAGCUGUUCUCACUUCUAAUUGUGGGGAUGAGAUUUGCUAAAGCCAGUAAUGUUCUAGGAAGUUCCAAAAGUAAAAUUAUGUUGGAAUUCAAGCAGGUCCCAGUUUGGGUCAACACUUGGCCCUAAUGGAUCUUCAUCAUCUGGAAGCUACUAGCAACCAGGCAGGUACUAUUGGAACGCCCGAUUUUGGGCUGUCGACAUGUGGUGUUGUGUCAUUUCGAUUUCCAGUGGUGGUUGCAGAGAAACAGUGGUUGGCUCUAUAUUGCUAUGCUUCUUUUUGCAAUAGCUAGAGUUUUUUUCAAACAGUAAACUCAGCAAAUUUCGAAGCAAAUUUUCAUAGGAAGGAGAGGGAGUCAUAGGCAGAUCAAAGAGGCUUUGAUACCAAAU